rnacentral:rRNA from 1 species
AUUGAACGCUGGCGGCCGGCCUAACACAUGCAAGUCGAGCGAGCGGCGGACGGGUGAGUAAUGUAUGGGGACCUGCCUGAUAGAGGGGGAUAACUACUGGAAACGGUGGCUAAUACCGCAUACUAUCGGAUGAGCCACUGUGGGAUUAGCUAUGAGGUGGGGUAAAGGCGCACCUAGGCGACGAUCACUAGCUGGUCUGAGAGGAUGAUAAGCCAAAAUGGGACUGAGACACGGCCCAGACUCCGAAGGGAGGCAGCAGUGGGGAAGAUUGCACAAUGGUCGCAAGCCUGAUGCAGCCAUGCCGUGUGUAUGAAGAAGGCCUUAGGGUUGUAAAGUACUUUCAGCGAGGAGGCGUUACCCGCAGAAGAAGCACCGGCUAACUCCGUGCCAGCAGCCGCGGUAAUUC